GCCGAUUUUGUUUCUUCCUUUUUAGAUGCCGUCGUGUUUGUUGAUGUUGGGACUGUUAACAGUGGAGGAAGAAUGAGUAGAGACUGUUAUGGGUCAGUUUAAGUAGCUGGUUUUAAUCACUGGUGGUGAUUGUGGAGGUGAAGGAGUGAACGGCGUUGAUAUUAAAGAAAGGAGCUACAGGCCAUGAAGAAAGCUAACUGCGGUGACUGUUAAGGAGAAGGAGUGACAAGGAAACAUUAUCAAGGCUGCCUGCACCAUCGACUAGCCCUUCACAGCUGGUAUUUACGUGUCAUUAAUCUCAAACAGAAACAGCCAUGCACAUCUUGCUUAAUUAAAUGUAAACUGUAAAGUCAUAUCAGAUAGCUAAAACCAUAGAAUAAUUGACAGUAUGGUUUACCUUCCUGCCUCUAAUCUCACCUGCUAUGCCAUUAAACAUCACCAAACCACCCACAAGUAGACCGCACCACUUCAUUUAAUGCCCCCUCCUUUUGCUCUUGAAUUCUUUCUACCAAAGUAGAAUCAGCUUCUUCUCAUAUUUCUUUCAAGGAUUGAAGGAGAAGAGGAGCCUUGAGCUCAUAGGUCGUUGCUGUGCUGUGUUUAACGAUGACUGGAGGGGUGGUUGUGGGUGGGGAAUUCUGUUUCAAAGAGGAAACAAACCUUACAGCUCACAGGACCUGUGUUCUUCCCGGGAGAUGGUUUCAUCGUUUAUGAUCCUAACAGGAAAAUCAUCUCUAGAUUUGAUUCUUAUGGCCCUGAUUCCGAGCCUAAGGAUGAGCUUGUUCUCAUGGACGCCACUGGCAACGGCCUCCUCACCCUUCAUCGGAAGGUUAGCUCCUCUUUUCUAACUUUCUCAUGGAUUGACUCGAAGACUUUCGAGGAAGUUCUCCGGGCCUGACAAUUAUAAUAUACACGUGUUAACAGUAACCUUUGGG
rnacentral:lncRNA from 1 species